UAUAACAUUCGCUCCUAUUCUCUGUUUAUUCUCCUUCACCACACCAAACCUCACACCACUUCACAUGACCACAGACCACCGCCACCGCCACCUCUGCAGAUCGCCAGCGCCAUCGCUAUUGCUGCAGAGCACAGAUUGACAUUGCCCACUACUCCUUGAACAACUACUCUGCACCUCAUGUUCCACAAAAUGUUAAUGCAUGUCCAACACUAUUUGUGGCAAAUUUGGGGCCAACUUGUUCAGAGCAAGAGCUAAUUCAAGUCUUUUCAAGUUGCCAUGGAUUUAUAAAAUUGAAGAUGCAAAGCACAUAUGGAACUCCGGUGGCAUUUGUUGAUUUUCAGAUACUUUGUUACUGUCAUUGAAAAGCUAAAACAAGAACUCAUGAUGGGUCCAUGUUUGUAUGUCUUUCAUUAGUUAAUAUAAUUUUUGUUGUGGUACAGAAGUUGUAAGUAUACAAUUAAUUUGGUUAUUCAUGUAUUAUGUAUGGAAUUAAAAUAUUGACGUUGGAUUAGACUUGGUUCUUAUGAAAUUUGUAAUAUAUAUAUAUAUAUAUAAUUGGACGUUCAAUAUUAAUUAUUUGGAUGGUUGCAAUUGAAA